UGGAGACGUGGCAGAGUGGCCGAAUGCGGCGGUCUUGAAAACCGUUAUUCCUGGGAGGGAAUCGUGGGUUCGAAUCCUACCGUCUCCGA
rnacentral:tRNA from 1 species